rnacentral:lncRNA from 1 species
AUGUUCGGGGAUAUGCAAAGUCUCAAAAUUUACCUGGCGGGCAUUUUUCUUCAGGACACGACUGCUGGAAAAAUUCAGGAAACAGGAACGCAGGAUACCAGAACAGCAGGGAAUCCGAUAAGGAGAGAGGAGACCCGCGGCAGAAGGCUGGUGGAGCGAGAUCCCAGGACCACGGCGCUAUACAAGCUCUGAAAACAGGGAGAAGAGCACCACAACAACAGGAUCAACUGUGUUACCUGUAGACAACUGCAAGGGUCAAAAAGUGAUGGCCAUUCCAGUAGCAGUAUGUGUUUAGAAAGCAACUCCAUUUUAUUUUUCAUGCCAGAGACAGAAAACAAUGCAACCGUCUCACUUCAAUAAGGAACUAAAAAUCAAAUGGAAAACCAGACAAAUACAGAAUGGGUUUGGAACAAAGUUGCAGAGUUUCUGGACCUCACUGUGCACAAGGUUUCAAAGAUCCACAUCAUGCUGUUCAGAAGCAGAAGUAAACAUUGCUGUGCAACAAUCAAUAUUUUUGUAGUUCUGCAAUGGCAGAGCACUCAGAAGCUGAAUGGGAAGUGACACAGACUCAGCCUGAUCAGCAAUCCUAAAUCAGAGACCUGGGUGUGACCCCAGUGGAGAGCCCUGCUGUCCUGAGAGACACAAGCCUUCCAGAAGAAGGAUAGAGCUUUUGGCAGCUUCUCACCCUGACUCUGAUAAGGAUAGCUAAUUGCACUUGCUUUACCACUUGAAAUUGUGUCUUCUUGGUGCACUGUGGAUUUUCAGAAGGUCUCUGAACGCUGCUUCAAAUGACAUCUCUUCCUCAAAUGGUAAAGAUUCAUCAUGACAGAUGAUGGACCCAGAGGAGAACGGCAUCACAGACAAGUGGAAAUACAAGCAGUUCUUGCUGGAAGCUGACAGCAACCUCACACUGAGGCUGAGAUAUUGUUUUAUUGAACAUGGGAGAGAGUAUCUGCUUAACAGCCUUGAAAAGCAAGUAUUUCAGAGAUGGGGUGCUUUGGUUUAUUAGACUUUCGGUUAUCUGAAAGCCCUUGAUACUUCAACUCUUAUCACUGGAAUUCUAUGAACUUGGAGGAGUCAAGUUCCCAUAUUAGUAUGUAUUUUAGAAGUACACUCAACAUGACUGAACUAGUGGCUGGGGAUUUGGCACAGAAGCUUGAAUUGUCAGUAGAUAUGGAUGAGGAACUUAGGAGGGAUUGGAGCUGAGUGAUACCCUAGGACGUAUACCAAAAGGGCAUUUGUCCAUUAAUCAAAUAAUUAUUCAAUUUCUAUUCUCUGCCAGGCAUGGAGAUCAAAUCUGCCUGAGUGGAAGGGGAAGAAUUGACAAAAUAUUUCACAAAUAAAUAUUUAAUCAGAGCCA